GAUGAACGCUGGCGGCGUGCCUAAUACAUGCCAGUCGAGCGAACGGACGAGAAGCUUGCUUCUCUGAUGUUAGCGGCGGACGGGUGAGUAACACGUGGAUAACCUACCUAUAAGACUGGGAUAACUUCGGGAAACCGGAGCUAAUACCGGAUAAUAUUUUGAACCGCAUGGUUCAAAAGUGAAAGACGGUCUUGCUGUCACUUAUAGAUGGAUCCGCGCUGCAUUAGCUAGUUGGUAAGGUAACGGCUUACCAAGGCAACGAUGCAUAGCCGACCUGAGAGGGUGAUCGGCCACACUGGAACUGAGACACGGUCCAGACUCCUACGGGAGGCAGCAGUAGGGAAUCUUCCGCGAUGGGCGAAAGCCUGACGGAGCAACGCCGCGUGAGUGAUGAAGGUCUUCGGAUCGUAAAACUCUGUUAUUAGGGAAGAACAUAUGUGUAAGUAACUGUGCACAUCUUGACGGUACCUAAUCAGAAAGCCACGGCUGACUACGUG
rnacentral:rRNA from 1 species